UACAGAGGGUGCGAGCGUUAAUCGGAUUUACUGGGCGUAAAGGGCGCGUAGGCGGUUGUUUAAGUUGGAUGUGAAAUCCCCGGGCUUAACCUGGGAACUGCAUCUGAUACUGGACGGCUAGAGUACUGUAGAGGGCAGUGGAAUUUCCGGUGUAGCGGUGAAAUGCGUAGAGAUCGGAAGGAACACCAGUGGCGAAGGCGGCUGCCUGGACAGAUACUGACGCUGAGGCGCGAAAGCGUGGGGAGCAAACAGG
rnacentral:rRNA from 1 species